rnacentral:tRNA from 3 species
CGAAAUUGGUAGACGCUACGGACUUUCGACUUUAUAAAUCGUGAGGGUUCAAGUCCCUCUAUCCCCAAAAAAGGG